GUUUUUAAUAUACAUACAAAACCCUGAAUGGUCAAUUUUUGUGUUGUAGAUGGAGACGAGAGAUCUGGACUUCUGAACAUCUACCGGAAAAGAUAAAAUGUGCAAGCCCUUCAGAACGCUGGGGAGGUUGGGCUGAACUGCAGUGGGAGAGGAGAAGAGAUGCUGGCGUGAAGGGCUGGGGCAGAAGAUCAGGGGAAAAUUGCGGAUGAUCUGAAUGAUAGCAGUGACCACCAGCAACCUACAGAGCUGCCCAACCAGGAAAUUGUCAGAUGGAAGCAACGCUUGCAGGCAAAGAAGGCUGAAGCAGGCCAAGGCAGGAAUGAAACAGUCAUAAAUGUUGGAGUGAAGCGACUGACCUCCCCGGUCCACACCCCGGCCCAGCGUCCUGCAUCUGCUGGAGGAUGGUGGAGACCAUGUGGAGGAUGGGGACUUGGCAGUGGAGGAGAACAUGGAAGCAGGAUAUGGCAGUCCCCUAGCGUCCCAGCCACAAGUCCUCUGAAGAGUGUGGAUGACGAUGGUGACUUAGGUGCAUCCUUCGAAUGUCCUGAGGGGGAGACUGGAGAAGCAGACACGCAAUUGUGGGAAGAAAUCAAAGGCAUAAAGAACUCACAGCACAAGUCCAAAGUCUGAUCAGCGAGCAGGCCUCUCUGCAGGGUGCAAGGGCACAGCUGGAGAGG
rnacentral:lncRNA from 1 species